GGCCUUGUGAUUCAGAGGUAGAGCUUCUGCUUGGGAUCCUGAACGUCCUAGGUUCAAUCCCCAGCAUUUCCA
rnacentral:tRNA from 1 species